AUAUAUAUAUAUAUAUAUAUAUAUGUGUGUGUGUGUGUGUGUGUGUGUGUAUGUGUAUACACACAUACAUGCAUAUAUACAUAUACAUGCAUAUAUAC
rnacentral:miRNA from 1 species